CCAGUCGGCCGGAUGGCCGCCGCCUUCGGGCGGAGGAAAGUCCGGGCUCCACGGAGAUACGGCGCCGGAUAACGUCCGGCGGGGGCGACCCCAGGGAAAGCGCCACAGAAAGCAAACCGCCGGCGCCUUCGGGCGCGGGCAAGGGUGAAAGGGUGCGGUAAGAGCGCACCGCGCGGGCGGCAACGUCAGCGGCAUGGCAAGCCCCGCCGGGAGCAAAACCGAAUAGGGGCGACACGAUCUGCGCUCGCGCAGGUCAUACCCGUCUCCGGGUCGUCGCCCGGGUUGGUUGCUAGAGGCGGUCGGCAACGACCGUCCCAGAGGAAUGGCCAUCACGUCCGGCUUCGGUCGGGCCUUACAGAACCCGGCUUACAGGCCGACUGGCGUU
rnacentral:RNase_P_RNA from 1 species